rnacentral:lncRNA from 1 species
UCUUUAGCUACAGAUCCUGUGUGAGGUGAUUUCAUCAAGGUCUCUAUAGCUACAGAUCAGACCCUGUGUGAGGUGAUUUCAUCAAAGUCUCUAUAGCUACAGACCCUGUGUGAGGUGAUAUAUAGCUAGCAAUGUAAAUGUAGCUAGCAAAGUAAUGUAAGUCGCUCUGGAUAAGAGCGUCUGCUAAAUGACUUAAAUGAAAAUGAAAUGAAAUGAAAAUAUAUAGCUAGGGAGAAGACCCGUGUGAGGCGAUAUAUAGCUAGCGAGAAGACCUGUGUGAGGUGAUAUAUAGCUAGGGAGAAGACCUGUGUGAGGUGAUAUAUAGCUAGGGAGAAGACCUGUGUGAGGUGAUGUAUAGCUAGGGAGAAGACCUGUGUGAGGUGAUAUAUAGCUAGGGAGAAGACCUGUGUGAGGUGAUAUAUAGCUAGGGAGAAGACCUGUGUGAGGUGGAACUGGGAACCUAUAGAAUAGUCGUGAAAACUGCAAAUUCCACCCAUCUGGAACUGCCAAGCAGGCAAAUGCAAAAUGCUAAAAGUAUUUGAUUGAUUUCAAGUAGUGUUUAAACCCAGGUCUCCAUCCCAGUCGGUGACUGGUUAGACUGAAGCACUGCUGAGCUGGUUUUCUCGCAAAGCCCAGGUCCAUAAAACAUGACCUUGGCCAAUGCUGUAAAUGUCAAGUUUCUUUCUACCUGUGGAGAUGAAGAUAGGUGAGCAAUGUUGGACAAACUGUGUUUGUUGCAGAAUGGAUUGGACAUAGAAAUGUUGUGUGUAAGAAAAAGGAUGACAUAUAAAGAUGAUAAAAUGCUAAUUCAAAAUCACUUUAAGAAAUAAAUAUGCAAAGGGUGUUUGGACAGAGAGAGGGCAGAGAGAGGACAGAGAGUACAGAGAGAGGGAAGAGGGCAGAGAGAGGGCAGUGUGUGUUUGGCAGAGGACACAGAGAGGGAAGAGGACAGAGAGAGGGCAGAGGACAGAGAGAGGGCAGAGAGAGGACAGAGAGAGGGAAGAGGGCAGAGAGAGGGCAGUGUGUGUUUGGCAGAGGACACAGAGAGGGAAGAGGACAGAGAGAGGGCAGAGGACAGAGAGAGGGCAGAGAGAGGACAGAGAGAGGGAAGAGGGCAGAGAGAGGGCAGUGUGUGUUUGGCAGAGGACACAGAGAGGGAAGAGGACAGAGAGAGGGCAGUGUGAGUUUGGCAGAGGACAGAGAGAGGGCAGUGUGUGUUUGACAGAGGGCAGAGAGAGGGCAGAGGACAGAGAGAGGGCAGUGUGUGUUUGACAGAGGACAGAGAGAGGGCAGAGGACAGAGAGAGGGCAGUGUGUGUUUGACAGAGGGCAGAGAGAGGGCAGAGGACAGAGAGAGGGCAGUGUGUGUUUGGCAGAGGACAGAGAGAGGGCAGAGGACAGAGAGAGGGCAGAGGACAGAGAGAGGGCAGAGGACAGAGAGAGGGCAGUGUGUGUUUGGCAGAGGGCAGAGAGAGGGCAGAGGACAGAGAGAGGGCAGUGUAUGUUUGACAGAGGGCAGAGAGAGGGGGGAGGACAGAGAGAGGGCAGUGUGUGUUUGGCAGAGGACAGAGAGAGGGCAGAGGACAGAGAGAGGGCAGAGGACAGAGAGAGGGCAGUGUGUGUUUGGCAGAGGGCAGAGAGAGGGCAGAGGACAGAGAGAGGGCAGAGGACAGAGAGAGGGCAGAGGACAGAGAGAGGGCAGAGGACAGAGAGAGGGCAGUGUGUGUUUGGCAGAGGACAGAGAGAGGGCAGAGGACAGAGAGAGGGCAGUGUGUGUUUGGCAGAGGACAGAGAGAGGGCAGAGGACAGAGAGAGGGCAGUGUGUGUUUGGCAGAGGACAGAGAGAGGGAAGAGGACAGAGAGAGGGCAGUGUGUGUUUGACAGAGGGCAGAGAGAGGGCAGAGGACAGAGAGAGGGCAGUGUGUGUUUGACAGAGGGCAGAGAGAGGGCAGAGGACAGAGAGAGGGCAGUGUGUGUUUGGCAGAGGACAGAGAGAGGGCAGAGGACAGAGAGAGGGCAGUGUGUGUUUGGCAGAGGGCAGAGAGAGGGCAGAGGACAGAGAGAGGGCAGUGUAUGUUUGGCAGAGGACAGAGAGAGGGCAGAGGACAGAGAGAGGGCAGUGUGUGUUUGGCAGAGGACAGAGAGAGGGCAGAGGACAGAGAGAGGGCAGUGUGUGUUUGGCAGAGGACAGAGAGAGGGCAGUGUGUGUUUGGCAGAGGACAGAGAGAGGGCAGAGGACAGAGAGAGGGCAGUGUGUGUUUGGCAGAGGACAGAGAGAGGGCAGUGUGUGUUUGGCAGAGGACAGAGAGAGGGCAGAGGACAGAGAGAGGGCAGAGAACAGAGAGAGGGCAGUGUGUGUUUGACAGAGGACAGAGAGAGGGCAGAGGACAGAGAGAGGGCAGUGUGUGUUUGGCAGAGGACAGAGAGAGGGCAGAGG